rnacentral:rRNA from 1 species
GAUGAACGCUGGCGGCGUGCCUAAUACAUGCAAGUCGAGCGAACUGAUUAGAAGCUUGCUUCUAUGACGUUAGCGGCGGACGGGUGAGUAACACGUGGGCAACCUGCCUGUAAGACUGGGAUAACUUCGGGAAACCGAAGCUAAUACCGGAUAGGAUCUUCUCCUUCAUGGGAGAUGAUUGAAAGAUGGUUUCGGCUAUCACUUACAGAUGGGCCCGCGGUGCAUUAGCUAGUUGGUGAGGUAACGGCACACCAAGGCAACGAUGCAUAGCCGACCUGAGAGGGUGAUCGGCCACACUGGGACUGAGACACGGCCCAGACUCCUACGGGAGGCAGCAGUAGGGAAUCUUCCGCAAUGGACGAAAGUCUGACGGAGCAACGCCGCGUGAGUGAUGAAGGCUUUCGGGUCGUAAAACUCUGUUGUUAGGGAAGAACAAGUACAAGAGUAACUGCUUGUACCUUGACGGUACCUAACCAGAAAGCCACGGCUAACUACGUGCCAGCAGCCGCGGUAAUAC